CCUACGUGAGGCAGCAGUGGGGAAUAUUGGGCAAUGGGCGCAAGCCUGACCCAGCAACGCAGCGUGAAGGCAGAAGGCGUUCGGGUUGUAAACUUCUUUUGUCAGGGACGAAGCAAGUGCCGGUACCUGACGAAUAAGCCAAGGCUAACUACGUGCCAGCAGCCGCGGUAAUACGUAGGUGGCAAGCGUUAUCCGGAUUUACUGGGUGUAAAGGGCGUGUAGGCGGGACUGCAAGUCAGAUGUGAAAACCACGGGCUCAACCUGUGGCCUGCAUUUGAAACUGUGGUUCGUGUGGACUGGGGAGGCAGACGGAAUGCCUAGUGUAGCGGUGACAUGCGUAGAUAUUAGGAGGAACACCAGUGGCGAAGGCGGUCUGCUGGACAGCAACUGACGCUGAGGCGCGAAAGCGUGGGGAGCAAACAGGAUUAGAUACCCCUGUAGUC
rnacentral:rRNA from 1 species